rnacentral:rRNA from 1 species
UGGGGAAUAUUGGGCAAUGGGCGCAAGCCUGACCCAGCGACGCCGCGUGGGUGAUGAAGGCCUUCGGGUCGUAAAGCCCUGUCGGGUGGAAAGAAUGGUUAUUGGGCGAAUAGGCCAGUAACGUGACGGUACCACCGAAGGAAGCACCGGCCAAUUCCGUGCCAGCAGCCGCGGUAAGACGGAAGGUGCAAGCGUUGCUCGGAAUCACUGGGCGUAAAGGGUGCGUAGGCGGCUUGGUAAGUCGGGUGUGAAAGCCCCGGGCUCAGCCUGGGAAGGGCACUCGAAACUGUCGAGCUGGAGUGCCGGAGGGGAGAGUGGAAUUCCUGGUGUAGCGGUGAAAUGCGUAGAUAUCAGGAGGAAUACCGGUGGCGAAAGCGACUCUCUGGACGGCAACUGACGCUGAGGCACGAAAGCGUGGGGAGCAAACAGGAUUAGAUACCCACGUAGUCCCUGAGCGGGCUGGCAAGGCG